rnacentral:rRNA from 1 species
UACGGAGGGGGCUAGCGUUGUUCGGAAUUACUGGGCGUAAAGGGCUCGUAGGUGGCCAACUAAGUCAGACGUGAAAUCCCCAGGCUCAACCUGGGAACUGCGUCUGAUACUGGAUGGCUUGAAUUCGGGAGAGGGAUGUGGAAUUCCAGGUGUAGCGGUGAAAUGCGUAGAUAUCUGGAGGAACACCGGUGGCGAAGGCGGCAUCCUGGACCGGCAUUGACGCUGAGGCGCGAAAGCCAGGAGAGCAAACGGG